rnacentral:rRNA from 1 species
CGUGUAGGCGGCUUAUUAAGUCAGAUGUGAAAGCCCACGGCUUAACCGUGGAACUGCAUUUGAAACUGGUAGGCUUGAGUAUGAGAGGGGGUAGUGGAAUUCCCAGUGUAGCGGUGAAAUGCGUAGAUAUUGGGAAGAACACCAGUAGCGAAGGCGGCUACCUGGCUCAUUACUGACGCUAAUGCGCGAAAGCGCGGGGAGCAAACAGGAUUAGAUACCCUGGUAGUCC